rnacentral:rRNA from 1 species
GUGUGUGAAGAAGGCCUUCGGGUUGUAAAGCACUUUCAGUUGUGAGGAAAAGUUAGUAGUUAAUACCUGCUAGCCGUGACGUUAACAUCAGAAGAAGCACCGGCUAACUCCGUGCCAGCAGCCGCGGUAAUACGGAGGGUSCGAGCGUUAAUCGGAAUUACUGGGCGUAAAGCGCRCGCAGGCGGUUUGUUMAGYYAGAUGUGAAAGCCCCGGGCUCAACCUGGGAUGGKCAYUUAGAUACUGSCAGACUAGAGUCUUGKAGAGGGGWGUGGAAUUCCMGGUGUAGCGGUGAAAUGCGUAGAUAUCUGGAGGAACAUCAGUGGCGAAGGCGAUCCCUGGMCARAKACUGACGCUCAUGUGCGAAAGUGUGGGKAGCGAACAGGAUUAGAUACCCUGGGUAGUCCACACCGUAAACGMUGUCUACUAGCUGUGGGUGUCWYUWGAUGUMUGCGUGGCGAAAGCUAACGCGCUAAAGUAGACCCGC